GCCUAACACAUGCAGUCGAGCGAUCUUCUUCGGAAGAGAGCGGCGGACGGGUGAGUAACGCGUGGGUGACCUGCCCUGUACACACGGAUAACAUACCGAAAGGUAUGCUAAUACGGGAUAAUAUGCUUUUAUCGCAUGGUAGAAGUAUCAAAGCUCCGGCGGUACAGGAUGGACCCGCGUCUGAUUAGCUAGUUGGUAAGGUAAUGGCUUACCAAGGCGACGAUCAGUAGCCGACCUGAGAGGGUGAUCGGCCACAUUGGAACUGAGACACGGUCCAAACUCCUACGGGAGGCAGCAGUGGGGAAUAUUGCACAAUGGGCGAAAGCCUGAUGCAGCAACGCCGCGUGAGCGAUGAAGGCCUUCGGGUCGUAAAGCUCUGUCCUCAAGGAAGAUAAUGACGGUACUUGAGGAGGAAGCCCCGGCUAACUACGUGCCAGCAGCCGCGGUAAUACGUAGGGGGCUAGCGUUAUCCGGAAUUACUGGGCGUAAAGGGUGCGUAGGUGGUUUCUUAAGUCAGAGGUGAAAGGCUACGGCUCAACCGUAGUAAGCCUUUGAAACUGGGAAACUUGAGUGCAGGAGAGGAGAGUGGAAUUCCUAGUGUAGCGGUGAGAUGCGUAGAUAUUAGGAGGAACACCAGUUGCGAAGGCGGCUCUCUGGACUGUAACUGACACUGAGGCACGAAA
rnacentral:rRNA from 1 species